UACAGAGGGUGCAAGCGUUGUCCGGAAUCAUUGGGCGUAAAGAGCGUGUAGGCGGUCCGGUAAGUCGGCUGUGAAAGUCCAGGGCUCAACCCUGGGAUGCCGGUCGAUACUGCCGGACUAGAGUUCGGAAGAGGCGAGUGGAAUUCCCGGUGUAGCGGUGAAAUGCGCAGAUAUCAGGAGGAACACCGGUGGCGAAGGCGGGUCUCUGGGCCGUAACUGACGCUGGAGGAGCGGAAAGCAUGGGGAGCGAACAGG
rnacentral:rRNA from 1 species